rnacentral:sRNA from 1 species
CUCUUUCCGCCAGCGCCCGCAGGACCCGGAUGAGAGUGCACGCUUGGGGGUCCCCGGGAAGUCGCGGCGCCUUCGGAGGUGGCGGAUGCGGUCUUCCUCCAGAUCCAGCUGGUGCCCUCGCCUGACUUUCGAACGACCACCUGCUCACCUCCUCCCUUUAGCGCGUUGAUUCUUCGAAUUUCGAAGGGCCCACCGGUCUGCUUGCCCAACGUUAUUAGUGCCCCUGUUGCUCUACAAAUUCGAACCUCAAACACAAAACCAAUAUUUCUCCGUAGGGAACCCUAAUGAGCCAGGAGAGCAGUCAGCCCUGCAGCCUCCAGGGUACCCCACAUCAAACAGGCUCCCCGGGAACAAGAGGAGAACCACGUGGCUUGGCACACUCUCAGAAUGCCAGAGAGGAGCCAACCUCCAUUUUACAGAUGAGAAAGCUGAGGCUUAGGGAGGAAUUGUUUUACCUAAGACCCUCCCCCCAACCCCAAG